AGCUUUUUUCUAAUUUUUUGAGCUUUUUGCUCAUUUUAAUUUUCUCGUUCUUUUUCUCCUUAAAAAACUCAUUGAUUGCUUACUGUAACAUAAAUCCACUAAUUGUGUUUUCUAUUACCAAGCACACAAUACCAUUUCAAAAUAAACCCUCGGUAUUCCCCCAUUUUCCCUCACCAACUACCAUUAAACCCUUAAUUAUUUAAUAGGGAAGAAGAAUUCAAACCAUUGGAUGUGCAAACAACAGCUUAAUUUUUCAAUGAUAAUGACAACCGAGACUAAUAAAAAAUCAGUGUAUAAGAAGAAGUUUACUCUCUUUGAGAAGUAUCAAAAGGAGAGGAGUAGGGAUCUGACACUGGUGUGUAAGGGUUUGCACCUGAUUUAGCCACUCAUAUGCUCGGUGACAAAUUACUAAGAGCUCUUCAGCCCAAUACUAGUGUUACUUGAAGAAGACUCUUGAAUAUUGAUAUGUUUGCGAGAAGGGGUGGCUACAAAAGCUCAAAAAUGGUGCAUUGAUUAUAUAUUUCUUUUUUAUCUAUUUUUUUUAUUAAGGUAUUAAUGAAGAUGUAUGUAUCGUAUCUUUUUUCUUUUCUAUUUACUUUCUCAUGAUUCUCUCCAUGAAACUUCUUUAGUUUGAGCUCUAUGAUUUUUUGAUUGCCAGAA